rnacentral:rRNA from 1 species
AGAGCGAACGCUGGCGGCAGGCUUAACACAUGCAAGUCGAGCGGGCGUAGCAAUACGUCAGCGGCAGACGGGUGAGUAACGCGUGGGAACAUACCUUUUGGUUCGGAACAACACAGGGAAACUUGUGCUAAUACCGGAUAAGCCCUUACGGGGAAAGAUUUAUCGCCGAAAGAUUGGCCCGCGUCUGAUUAGCUAGUUGGUGAGGUAAUGGCUCACCAAGGCGACGAUCAGUAGCUGGUCUGAGAGGAUGAUCAGCCACAUUGGGACUGAGACACGGCCCAAACUCCUACGGGAGGCAGCAGUGGGAAUAUUGGACAAUGGGCGCAAGCCUGAUCCAGCCAUGCCGCGUGAGUGAUGAAGGCCCUAGGGUUGUAAAGCUCUUUUGUGCGGGAAGAUAAUGACGGUACCGCAAGAAUAAGCCCGGCUAACUUCGCGCCAGCAGCCGC